rnacentral:rRNA from 1 species
GAGGAAUAUUGCGCAAUGGGGGCAACCCUGACGCAGCGACGCCGCGUGAGUGAGGGAGGCCUUCGGGUCGUAAAGCUCUGUCAGCAGGGAAGAAGUGCAGCAUGGGUAAUAUCCGUGUUGUUUGACGGUACCUGCAAAGGAAGCACCGGCUAACUCCGUGCCAGCAGCCGCGGUAAUACGGAGGGUGCGAGCGUUGUUCGGAAUCACUGGGCGUAAAGGGCGCGCAGGCGGUUUUAUAAGUCAGAUGUGAAAGCCCACGGCUUAACUGUGGAAGAGCAUUUUAAACUGUGAGACUUGAGUACCAGAGGGGAAGGUAGAAUUCCCGGUGUAGAGGUGAAAUUCGUAGAUAUCGGGAGGAAUACCGGUGGCGAAGGUGACCUUCUGGCUGGAUACUGACGCUGAGGCGCGAAAGCGUGGGGAGCAAAC